rnacentral:rRNA from 1 species
AUUGAACGCUGGCGGCAGGCUUAACACAUGCAAGUCGAGCGGGGUGAUGGUGCUUGCACUAUCACUUAGCGGCGGACGGGUGAGUAAUGCUUCGGAAUCUGCCUAUUAGUGGGGGACAACAACUCGAAAGGGAUGCUCAUACCGCAUACGUCCUACGGGAGAAAGCAGGGGAUCACUUGUGACCUUGCGCUAAUAGAUGAGCCUAAGUCGGAUUAGCUAGUUGGUGGGGUAAAGGCCUACCACGGCGACGAUCUGUAGCGGGUCUGAGAGGAUGAUCCGCCACACUGGGACUGAGACACGGCCCAGACUCCUACGGGAGGCAGCAGUGGGGAAUAUUGGACAAUGGGGGGAACCCUGAUCCAGCCAUGCCGCGUGUGUGAAGAAGGCCUUAUGGUUGUAAAGCACUUUAAGCGAGGAGGAGGCUCUUUUGGUUAAUACCCAAGAUGAGUGGACGUUACUCGCAGAAUAAGCACCGGCUAACUCUGUGCCAGCAGCCGCAGUAA